CGGGGCGUGGCGCAGCUUGGCAGCGCGCUUGCUUUGGGAGCAAGAAGUCGCAGGUUCAAAUCCUGUCGCCCCGACCG
rnacentral:tRNA from 1 species